rnacentral:rRNA from 1 species
CGAACGCUGGCGGCGUGCUUCACACAUGCAAGUCGACCGGAAAGGCCCUGCUUUUGUGGGGUGCUCGAGUGGCGAACGGGUGAGUAACACGUGAGUAACCUGCCCUUGACUUUGGGAUAACUUCAGGAAACUGGGGCUAAUACCGGAUAGGAGCUCCUGCUGCAUGGUGGGGGUUGGAAAGUUUCGGCGGUUGGGGAUGGACUCGCGGCUUAUCAGCUUGUUGGUGGGGUAGUGGCUUACCAAGGCUUUGACGGGUAGCCGGCCUGAGAGGGUGACCGGCCACAUUGGGACUGAGAUACGGCCCAGACUCCUACGGGAGGCAGCAGUGGGGAAUAUUGCACAAUGGGCGGAAGCCUGAUGCAGCAACGCCGCGUGCGGGAUGACGGCCUUCGGGUUGUAAACCGCUUUCGCCUGUGACGAAGCGUGAGUGACGGUAAUGGGUAAAGAAGCACCGGCUAACUACGUG